GGUUGUAUGGUGUAAUGGUUAGCACGUGAGAUUCUGAUUCUCGAGACCUGGGUUCGAUUCCCAGUACGACCU
rfam:Schizosaccharomyces pombe chromosome II, complete replicon